rnacentral:rRNA from 1 species
GAUGAACGCUAGCUACAGGCUUAACACAUGCAAGUCGAGGGGAAACGAUAUUGGAAGCUUGCUUCCGAUAGGCGUCGACCGGCGCACGGGUGAGUAACGCGUAUCCAACCUGCCCACCACUUGGGAAUAACCUUGCGAAAGUAAGACUAAUGCCCAAUGAUAUCUCUAGAAGACAUCUGAAAGAGAUUAAAGAUUUAUCGGUGAUGGAUGGGGAUGCGUCUGAUUAGCUUGUUGGCGGGGUAACGGCCCACCAAGGCGACGAUCAGUAGGGGUUCUGAGAGGAAGGUCCCCCACAUUGGAACUGAGACACGGUCCUAACUCCUACGGGAGGCAGCAGUGAGGAAUGUUGGUCAAUGGGCGAGAGCCUGAACCAGCCAAGUAGCGUGCAGGAUGACGGCCCUAUGGGUUGUAAACUGCUUUUAUAAGGGAAUAAAGUGAGCCUCGUGAGGCUUUUUGCAUGUACCUUAUGAAUAAGGACCGGCUAAUUCCGUGCCAGCCGCCGCGGUAA